CACGUAGGGGGCAAGCGUUGUCCGGAAUCAUUGGGCGUAAAGAGCUCGUAGGCGGCUCGGUAAGUCGGGUGUGAAACCCCCAGGCUCAACCUGGGGACGCCACCCGAUACUGCUGUGGCUAGAGUCCAGUAGGGGAGUGUGGAAUUCCCGGUGUAGCGGUGAAAUGCGCAGAGAUCGGGAGGAACACCCGUAGCGAAGGCGGCGCUCUGGGCCGGUACUGACGCUGAGGAGCGAAAGCGUGGGGAGCGAACAGG
rnacentral:rRNA from 1 species